GCUGUACUCAGAUGAUAUAAAUUCACGUUAGCAUCAGAUUUGGAAGAGGACAUAUUGAUUGACCCACAAAAGGAAUCAGGCGAAGAGCACAUAAUGGAUCAAUGCAAUAAUUGAAAUUUCAACUAAUCGUUGAGGUAAACAGAAUUGAAUUUGAAGACACCUGUGUGUAGUCCGAUUUACGAUAGAAUAUUAAUUUUAUCAGUGAAUCCGUUGAUGGAAAACGUAAUAGCUGACAGUGUUCACAGCUGAUUGUUAUCCGUGAAUGAUAACAGUGACGAUAGAUCUGAACGAUUACGAUUGCGGUUAUUCACACGAUUAGACGAUGAAAAAUGUUGAACGUAGCGCAAUACACGGAUCAGAUGGGAGUUUACAUGGCAAUAUAUCGAUUACCUAGGUACCUUUGUGUACAUGGCGUGGCGGGAUAUAGGUAUUACUCGGUUACUCGGCUCGCCAAGAUUCCCUCUGGAUUAUUAACCGCCCGGAUCGAUCGCGGGUCUUGAACGCACUACCAAUUAUAAUAAAUUAAAAAUAAAAAUAGAACACUUCUCCCUUCAGGGAUGUCAGUAAGUUAUUCAAUAAGACGUAAAACAUCGGAUUUAUUGAUCAACGAAAAUUAUUACAUAAGCAGCAUAAAAUAUGUUACACGAUUACUAACAAUAUGUAACGAAAGAAGUGAUGCCUGUUAGUAUAACUUGUAACGCCUGAGGGCAUUAGAGGAAUAUCUAGACAUUUCUCUAAUGUUUGAGAAUUAAGAGGCACCUCGAAGUGCGAUGCUUCUAUAGAAUCGACAACCCUUCUAUAGCAUAACUCCACGUUACGUAACCACCCUCCAAAUAUUAUGUUGAGAAGAUUUAUCACUUCAGAAUUUAAUAACUUCUAAUCUUUACUUUCUAUCAAAUUAGAAUAAUUGUCACAUGUUAAAGAAAUACGCAUAAACAUCCAAAUAGUAGGGAACGUGAGCCAUAACUGAUGAUCACUUAAAUUAUAAUUUAUAAAAAAAUGACAAUGUUAAAAUAACUAAGAUCACAAUUUAAAAACUUUGAUAAACCACAUAUUUCGAGCUAUAGGCAAAAUAAAAAUCACUUGAGGGAUGUGAGUCCAUGGACACAAUUAUAAUCUCCAGUUCGCCAAGAGGAGGAUUUUUGAAGAGAGCAGAGGCUCGCAACAUUUCUUAAGGGAACUUACGUCAGACGGUUUCUCUCGUGUUAAACCGCCGAAAACGAGGAACACGGACACGCGUGUGCCGAUAGCACACACACGGACGGAGCUCUUAUUGACAUGGGGUCGCGUUGCACACGUGCAGCGAGCAACUGUCUGCAGCCGGGGUUGCUCCGAGGUAUGCGGGGGCAGCCACCCCGAUUCCGAUCCAUACGACCGUCCCAUGGCGUCUGCGUCGAGCCGAGCAACUUUCACCCCUUGACGAUAUAUCACUUACCAUGUAGUAUCAAAAGUUGACACCGUUCUACCUCCGCGAAUUUUAAUAUAUUUUUAGAAUUUAUUUCAGUAUAACAACAAUGAGUAUAGAAAAUGUUUCGAGGCAUUUAUAAUUCUUUUUAUUUUAAUGCAAAUGUAAUUAAUAUUACUUAAUUGGAUCAAUUGGGUGGAGAACGUACAACCAUUUUGCAACUAGUCAUAACAAAUUUAUUCAUGAGUACAACUGAUAGUAUAGAGUACAGUAUCGAUAAUAAAAAAUGUGAAACGGAUUCUUAAUAAGCAAGACGUACCAAAUACGUUAUCGAUAUAAAAAGAAUGGAGAAAGUUUUCAAGAGCUUUAGGUUCAAGUCUAACGCAAAUAAAUAAUUUAAUUCAACUUG